rnacentral:lncRNA from 1 species
AAAACAAAAUAAAAAUAAAUAAUUUAUUAACACUCAUUUAGAGAUCUAAUAACACUAAAAUACAACUAUUCAGCAUUAAAGUUGCAUUACAUGGCAAUUAACACAAGCAUGAACUAGAUCCCAAAUCAAUGUUCUUUCCAUAGUGUAUAAGAAGAUGUCACUUUAUUGUCCUUUUCCCCAGGUUGGUACAUAAAACUUCAUGAAAACAACAACUAAUUGAUUAAAGUCAAAUCGUAAUUGAUCAGCAGUUCAGCACUAUCCUCAUAAGUCAUAAAAAAGAUUAAUCACUUUGAUAAGUCAUAGUGUUUGGAGAAAUACCCUAUUAUACCAUUUCAUCUUGUCGUAAGAUCAACAAACUCAGCUAAAACUUAGCUACUCAGAAAAUAAAAAUAUCAGUUCAAACAUUAGAUAUUAAUAUACUAUGUCUCUUAAAAGUUUAAUAAAUUCC